rnacentral:rRNA from 1 species
CCGGCGCACGGUGAGUAACGCGUAUGCAACUUACCUAUCAGAGGGGGAUAACCCGGCGAAAGUCAGACUAAUACCGCAUGAAGCAGGGGCCCCGCAUGGGGAUAUUUGCUAAAGAUUCAUCGCUGAUAGAUAGGCAUGCGUUCCAUUAGGCAGUUGGCGGGGUAACGGCCCACCAAACCGACGAUGGAUAGGGGUUCUGAGAGGAAGGUCCCCCACAUUGGUACUGAGACACGGACCAA